rnacentral:rRNA from 1 species
UACGUAGGGUGCGAGCGUUGUCCGGAAUUACUGGGCGUAAAGAGCUCGUAGGUGGUUUGUCGCGUUGUUCGUGAAAUCCCACGGCUUAACUGUGGGCGUGCGGGCGAUACGUGCAGACUGGAGUACUGCAGGGGAGACUGGAAUUCCUGGUGUAGCGGUGGAAUGCGCAGAUAUCAGGAGGAACACCGGUGGCGAAGGCGGGUCUCUGGGCAGUAACUGACGCUGAGGAGCGAAAGCGUGGGGAGCGAACAGG